UACGUAGGGUGCAAGCGUUGUCCGGAAUAUUGGGCGUAAAGAGCUCGUAGGCGGUCUGUCGCGUCGGAUGUGAAACCUCGGGGCUCAACCCCGAGCCUGCAUUCGAUACGGGCAGACUAGAAUUCGGUAGGGGAGACUGGAAUUCCUGGUGUAGCGGUGAAAUGCGCAGAUAUCAGGAGGAACACCGGUGGCGAAGGCGGGUCUCUGGGCCGAUAUUGACGCUGGAGGAGCGAAAGCGUGGGGAGCGAACAG
rnacentral:rRNA from 1 species